AACCGGGUGCUCAGCUCAGAGCGAACUAUUCUUUCGCCUUUUACUAAAGAAUACCGUACGCUGGGUACACGUACCGGCAUAUCAAUAUUUUUGGAAUGCCCUUUCGGGGGCCC
rfam:Physcomitrella patens subsp. patens PHYPAscaffold_16 genomic scaffold, whole genome shotgun sequence.